UAUUAGAGAAAGAUGCGAAGAAGCUCGGUUCCAAUGGAGGAAGUACAGUUUGGGAAAAUAAAUCCAGUAAAAUCAAGACUCAUACCAAAAUCAAUGAUACCCACAUCAACGGGAGCAUUAGAGGGAGAUAAAUUUCUUGCUACGGGGGAACGUGUUAGACUUAGGAAGGAGACUUAUGAGAGCUUUGAAAUCAACAACAUAACUGCUUCUUCAUUACUGGAUUUACCCACACAAGGUGUUUGCUCAAAAACCUGAUCGACCAGUACUUGAACCAAGAUCGUAUUAUUGUUGUUGAUUUAUAUGGUUGGCGUGUGGUGGCUGUAUGGCUUGUGUUUGAAUUGGUAGAGGAUGUCUUAGACACCGGGAUAAGCAAGGAAACUUGGGCCCUAGUCUAAUUCAAUUUUGGCUUGGAUUUGGGAUUGUUUUGCUCACUGGAAAAUUAGUUCAAAACUGAUGUAGUGUCGUGAAAACAGCCAACAAGUGAUGUCUCUGUUCGUAGUUUUACGAAUUGAAUGAAUGUAAUUGGUGAUGUUUUAGUAUUUGUGUAUGUAUGGAUUGUUGGUUUGUUUAA